rnacentral:misc_RNA from 1 species
GAUGAAGAGCGCAGCGAAAUGCGAUAAGUAAUGUGAAUUGCAGAAUUCAGUGAAUCAUCGAAUCUUUGAACGCACAUUGCGCCCAUUAGUAUUCUAGUGGGCAUGCCUGUUCGAGCGUCAUUAAGUCCACUUAAGCCCUGCUUAGUGUUGGGAGACUGCUCCAGCGGUGCUACCCUGUAGCUACCCUGCAGCUCCUCAAAGACAGCGGCGGAGUUGUGGUAUCCUCUGAGCUUAGUAACUUGUUCUAGCUUUCGAGUACACCACUUCCCCUGCCGUAAAACCCUUAAUUUUUAAUGGUUGACCUCGGAUCAGGUAGGAAUACCCGCUGAACUUAAGCAUAUCAAUAAGCGGAGGA